GAUCAUGGCUCAGGAUGAACGCUAGCUACAGGCUUAACACAUGCAAGUCGAGGGGCAGUAUGACCUAGCAAUAGGUUGAUGGCGACCGGCGCACGGGUGAGUAACACGUAUCCAACCUACUGGUUAUUCCGGGAUAGCCUUUCGAAAGAAAGAUUAAUACCGGAUAGUAUAACGAGAAGGCAUCUUCUUGUUAUUAAAGAAUUUCGAUAACCGAUGGGGAUGCGUUCCAUUAGUUUGUUGGCGGGGUAACGGCCC
rnacentral:rRNA from 1 species